GACGGAGGGUGCAAGCGUUGUUCGGAAUUACUGGGCGUAAAGCGCGGGCAGGUGGCCUUUUAAGUCCUUUGUGAAAUCCCGGGGCUCAACUCCGGAUGUGCAUAGGAUACUGGAAGGCUCGAGACAGGUAGAGGCGAGCGGAAUUCCUGGUGUAGCGGUGGAAUGCGUAGAUAUCAGGAAGAACACCGGUGGCGAAGGCGGCUCGCUGGGCCUGUUCUGACACUCAUACGCGAAAGCGUGGGGAGCAAACAGG
rnacentral:rRNA from 1 species